rnacentral:tRNA from 1 species
AUACUAGGGGCUCAGUGGCAACAAAUAGCAAAAGGUAUUACUUGAUAUAAAUCAAAUAUUUUUCACCCGAAAGGUUUCCGGAACCUAAGAUCCAGGUUCGAGUCCUGGUGGGGCUACCA